CUCUGCUUCUUUGAUCUCGACAACACCGAACAAUCGUCAUCGUCAGGAUCACUCGCCUGGGUGCUGCGUGGAUGGGUGACCAGCCGUGCAGUGCGAGGGUGCUGGAGGCUGCCGCGAGCGAGGCUGCGCGGCGGGCAUCGUCAGAGAGCACAAGGGCACAACUCAAAGCUGUACUGCACUUCUAUGCUCCCGCAUAUAUGCUCUCUCCGCCUCCACCAAUUACCCGCACAGCCGAGCGUGGAUGAAGUAUGGCGCGUACCCAUCCAGCGGUGGAUUGCAGUCGUAAUACAACAGCCCGUAAUACCAGCGGGGAUUGCGGCCCCUUGGCAGACACUGCGCUAGCUCUGAAAAUAUCUGCAACUCAUCCGAUCGAUAGCCCCUAACCUUGUCCCAUAACCCCAAACCCCCCUAUCCGCUCUUUGUUCCACAGACGCUGUUCGAACACAGCCUGCCGUUCGCAUGCCACGGCAGUCACCCCAGCGACUUGCGAUUGGUGAUCGGAAUCGUUUUUUGUUUGUUCACCGCAGCGUCCAUCCAUGCGGACGAUCCUUGGGAACCCGGGUGAGGGGGGCUGGCUGGGUGAGCGAUGCGAGUGGAGGACGUCACGAGGUACUUGAGAAGAGAGUCCAUCCCCUCCACCGAGCUCCAGAUCCUCUGCAGCGCCGCACACUCGCGCUGGUUGGCCGCCUCUAGUUCGGCCGUCAGUCCGCACCGGAGCAGCUUCUUCGUCUCCUCUAACACCUAGUGGACGAGAGACGCGCACGUUCGGCACAAGGCCCCCCCACCCCCAUCACCAGGUGGGCACGUGGCUUCCGAUCGAAAAAAAACAGGCACGCCCCUUUCCGUCCGAGUUCCAACAACAAGUAGGAGAUUUUACUGCAGUCGUACAAAAUAAACGUUAUUUCCCAUUCUCUCAUUUCUCCGAGUUCCUAAACGUGCAUUCAUUCUAAAAAAAUCAAGGUGUUAAAACAUUUGUUUUGGUUUCGAGUAGGAGGAUAAUUUUCUCAAGGCGGAAUAUGUUUUUGACCCAUCUAGACAACUUCUAUACGAGAAUAGGUUUUCCCCUUUUUCUGGCAAACAGGUGUUAAGAUGUUAGAACACCAAACUGAAACCUUUUACAAGGAAUCAAGUUUGCAUUAACCACAAUACUUGUGAUCAGAAUGCAAACAAAAAACAUACAUGCAUAUAUCAUCGGAGUAUGUGUUUUUUUUUAGAUGCAAUGUUUCCAUUUUCGAGGAAACUGAAAACGAAUUUCUUUAGAACUGCUUUUUGUGUUUAGUUGGUUGUCCUUCCCACGCACUUCCGACUAGCACGGUUGGCUACGUACGAUGCAAAAGAAGUUAUACAUACAUACACAUACAUCUGGUGGAAAUAAUUUACAACGAGGCGUGGUGACACUCAAGGCACUGGUCGUGACGAUCUGCUUUGAUCUCCAAGGAUAAUGAGGUGCAAGCACUACGCCGCACUCACUGUCAACUGGCAAGAGGCGAGCUCCUUGACCCGCACCACAACUUCCUGGGAAAAGGUGCUGGACCACAACACCUGCGACACCAGACCCAUCUCGCACGCUUGUAACGCCGUCAGCUUUCUACCGCAGAAGAGCACCUCAUUGGCCUGUGGGAGUGUGUUCACAAGGUGUCGAGAAGAGUUAGCAUGCAGAGGGCGGCACAAAAAAAACUAACCGUGUUCUAAAGAUAUAAUUAAACUCUACAGUUUGUUAAUCACAAGUUACUUGAAAAACAAAAUAAGUCCGAUCUUGCAGACACAUCUAGACUGUCACAGAUUAGCACGGUUGGCUACAUACUAUGUGAAAGAAGUUCAACAUAAUACAUACACAUGUUUUAAGCAUCAUUCUGGAGGCAACAUUUUAAACAAAUCUUAUUCACUGCGGAAGCAUGUAUUUUUUUGUAUUUGUUUUGCUAUAAAGAACAUUCAAAUUCAUGUCCACAUGCAAGAACACACAACCUCGAUAGGUGCAUCUAGGAGAGCCAAAUUUUUAUAUGAAUGGUUAUGCAACUUUACAUAAAAUGCAUUCACCCAAAACGGAUUUAUUAUCAGAUAACCACUUUAAAAGAUUAGACGUCACAUUGUUAUGGAUGGUCAGUGUUUAUUAAAUCAACUGAAUAAAGUUAUGUAUUGG